GACGAACGCUGGCGGCGUGCUUAACACAUGCAAGUCGAACGGAAAGACCCUGCUUUUGCGGGUUGCUCGAGUGGCGAACGCGUGAGUAACACGUGUGUAUACUGUCCUUGACUUUGUGAUAACUUCAGGAAACUGGGGCUCAUACCGGAUAGAAGCUCCUGCUGCAUGUUGUGCGUUGGUAAGUUUCGGUGGUCGGGGAUCGACUCGCGGCUUCUCAGCCUGUUGGUGUGGUAGUGGCUUACCAAGGCUUUGACGGCUAGCCGGCCUGGGAGGGGUGCCGGGCACAUGGGGACUGAGAUACGGCCCAGACGCCUACGGGAGGCAGCAGUGGAGAAUAUUGCGCAACGGGCGGAAGCCUGAUGCAGCAACGCCGCGUGCGGAAUGACGGCCUUCGGGUUGUGAACCGCUUUCGCCUGUAACGAGGCGGGAGUGACGGUAAUGAGUAAAAAAGCACCGGCUAACUACGUG
rnacentral:rRNA from 1 species